UACGUAGGUAGCAAGCGUUGUUCGGAUUUAUUGGGCUUAAAGGGUGCGUAGGCGGCUUUGUAAGUCAGUGGUGAAAUACGGUAGCUUAACUAUCGAGGUGCCAUUGAUACUGCAGAGCUUGAGUACAGAUGAGGUAGGCGGAAUUGAUGGUGUAGCGGUGAAAUGCUUAGAUAUCGUCAAGAACACCUAUAGCGAAGGCAGCUUACUAGGCCGUAACUGACGCUGAGUCACGAAAGUGUGGGGAUCAAACAGG
rnacentral:rRNA from 1 species